GAUGAACGCUGGCGGCGUGCUUAACACAUGCAAGUCGAACGGACAGGCCCUGCUUUUGUGGUGUGCUCGUUAGGCGAACGGGUGAGUAACACGCGAGUAACCUGCCCCUGACUUUGGGAUAACUUUAGGAAACUGGGGCUCAUACAGGAUAGGAGCUCCUGCUCCACGGUGGGGGUUGGAAAGUUUCGGCGGUUGGGGAUGGACUAGCGGCUUAUCAGCUUGUUGGUGGGGUAGUGGCUUACCAAGGCUUUGAAGGGUAGCCGGCCUGAGAGGGUUACCGGCGACAUGGGGACUGAGAGACGGCCCAGACGCCUACGGGAGGCAGCAGUGGGGAAUAUUGCACAAUGGGCGGAAGCCUGAUGCAGCAACGCCGCGUGCGUGAUGACGGCCUUCGGGGUGUAAACCGCUGUCGCCUGUGACGAAGCGUGAGUGACGGUAAUGGGUAAAGAAGCACCGGCUAGCUACGUG
rnacentral:rRNA from 1 species